GCUCCUACGGGGCGCAGCAGUGGGGGAUAUUGGACAAUGGGGGAAACCCUGAUCCAGCGAUGCCGCGUGAGGGAAGAAGGUUUUCGGAUUGUAAACCUCUGUGGAGGGGGACGAUAAUGACGGUACCCCUUUAGGAAGCCACGGCUAACUACGUGCCAGCAGCCGCGGUAAUACGUAGGGAGCGAGCGUUGUCCGGAAUUACUGGGUGUAAAGGGAGCGUAGGCGGGCUUGUAAGUUGAAUGUCUAAUCCACCGGCUCAACCGGUGAUCGCGUUCAAAACUGCAGGUCUUGAGUGAAGUAGAGGG
rnacentral:rRNA from 1 species